GUCCCGUUAGCUCAGCUGGUAGAGCAAAUGACUCUUAAUCAUUGGGUCGAGGGUUCGAAUCCCCCACGGGGCACCA
rnacentral:tRNA from 1 species